AGCUGCGCUCUCUCUGGUUCUGCCUAGCGGGAAGUCUGGUGUAGAAGAAGCAAUCACCAGGUAAGGGAAUCUUCACUCCCUUUUUGACAUGGUAGAGGAUGGCUUGGAGUGUGUUCAGAGCACAGGCUGGAACCACACUGUCUGGGUUCAAAUCUGGAUCUUCCACUUACAAUGUUAGGAAUGACUGGGGACAAGCUAUUUAACCUCUCUGUGACUGUGUCCUCAUUCGCAAAUGGAAAUAAUAGUAGGACUUAUAUGCUAGGUUACGGUGAAGGCUAAUUGAGUUGACACAUAGAAAGUAUACCUAUCAGUGUUUGAUAUAUACAAACUCCAACAGUGGGGAAUGGGUUAUAUAAACUCUACAUAGCCAUUAAAAUAUCCAUAGUAGCUUGGAUAUACAUCCAUGAUCUAUUAUAAGUGAAAUUGGUUUUUAAAAAUGGCACCGUAUAUAUACCAUUAAAAAAGAAAAUAAAUCCAGGACAGAAAUGAGGUCUCCACAGUUGAGAACGCUAACUUUUCUCAUACAGGACCAGAGCAGCCACACCAGGCAGCUCUCGAACACCUCGAACUCCAGCUCCAAGGGAUUCAUACUCCUGUGCUUUCAUGAGCACUUGCACACAUGUGUCCAUAGGCACACGGAGACCCAGUACAUCUUUAAAGCGAGAAAGAAACCCAUUGAAAUGAAAAUAAUAAAGUAUGUACUCUUAUUAUAUAGCAAAAAGAUAUUUCUGUUUUCCAAAUACCCUGUAGUUUGUAUAUAUUAUGUAGGUAAUUAAAAAAACAAUAAAAGUUAUUCAGAAAGUGUUCAAAUGCAGUAGAUGUACAGUAGAUCCAGGUGAAAUAAUCCUGCUUUAAAACCAUAUCAACGGGUUGGAGAUUUAGCUCAUCGGUAGAGUACUUGCCUAGCAAGCACAAGGCCCUGGGUUCAGUCCCCAGCUCCAAAAAACAAACAAACAAACAAACAAACAAAAACCAUAUCAACACGAUCCCCCAGGGGCCUGGAUCAUUAAGGGCACCCGUGAGGCUAAGCCAUGAUCCACAUCACGAGCUUUAAGGGAACUCCAAUACGACCACCAAAAAGAAAAAAAUCCAUAACAUUGAAUGUUCUUGUGAGUGUGUUGCAUUUCGGCCCCUGCUUUCCGUGGGAUAGUCAAAAACUCUACCUACAGAGUCAGACCUGAAUCUUACCUAAACAAUAGCUGACCCUAAUACGUCAAAUUGCCUGCCCACUGCAUAAAAGCAAUGGGCUGAGCAAGGCUGUGCGUGCAGAGGGAGUCACUGGAGUUUUGAGCACAGGCGGGACAGGACAGGGUGGGGUAGCAUUCCUCCAGCCACUGACUCAGAGGUUUCAAGGAGGAAAUGCAAGCCUGGGGGCUAGUGAAAUAAAGGAAGAAGAUAAGCAUCACAUCCCUGUGCUCAUUUGUGGAGAAUGUGAUUGGGGAAAGGAAGGCAAUUCUGCCCCUGAACCACCAGCCUUAGUAAGUCACUACUCACCCUUGCAAGACUAUUACAACCCAGGUACCCUCAAUCUGGAAAGAGCACCAAACCCCAACCCCUGGACACCAGGGAUGCUAAUUCACCUCAUCUGGAGCCAAAUUGUAAAUAAGUAAGACCCCACCCCAGGCAUCCAGCAUCAGGGCUUCAGAUAGAAGUGACUAGUGAUACAUGAAGCCUGAGUGACAGAGAACAGGCAUUAGGAUGAAUCCAGAAGACAUUGCCAACAUCCUCCCUUGGCUUGGCCUCCCUCGCUUCCUCUGAUGCCUGUCAUUUUAUGUCUCCCUUUCCUGCAAUUUAGGCCAUAGUGGGUCCUUUGAGAGACGACAUAAUCUUUUUCUUCUCUGCAUGAGUAGCUUGUAAUUCUCUCUCCCUGGAGGACCAUUACACCCCACAGAUGUGAGGAACUGAGGAAGAAAACUAAAUGCUAGAAAAUUAGGAAGAAAGCUAAACGAGAGAAACUGGUUUCGUUUCCUGCUUUCAGGUGUCAGGGCCAUAGGGCCCUACCCCGUACACUUUAUUGUUGUCUCAAACUGCAUAGGUGACUGUAUAAAAGAGGCCAUCAUGAUAAUCUCUCAAACACCUGAACUGACUGGAAUUGCUUCUUUCUUCCCAAAGAAUAAAGGUGUCUGGGGUGGCCUUUGCUCUACACGGGACAGCCCAAGGCUCAGGCAGGAGACUGAGAGCUACAGCACUGACUUUCCUGAUAUUAAAGCAUUCAGAGCUGUACUGAGCUGGGCUCCAGUGUCCUUGGGUCUCCAGUUUGCCAAUGAUCUUGCCAUUAUACAACUCUUAGUCCAGAGGCUGGAACCUGAGGACAGAGUGGACUGCCAGAAUCCAUGGAUUGAACCAAGGAUGGGAGACAACACUAACACUGAGUCUCUUAGCUAUGGUGCCAGAAGCUCUGAGAGGCACCAAUCACAAGCCCACUCUUGUGGCUCACUUAGGAGUGGAAGCCCUCCUCCUGUGAAGCCUAAUGAGAGUCUCUCUCUGACCUCUGAGUAUCCAUGUGCUCCCUGGGCAGGAGACAAGCAAGGGGAAGUUCUAUUUCUGCCUCUUCCUAGUUAUAUAGCUCUGAACAAGUCAGAAGAGAGCCAAAGAACUGACCAGAGUCAUCAUCAGCUCUAAUAGGGCUGCUCCAUGCAGGCACUGGCACAGGAACUCAGUUACUUCAACUGUGGGCAUUAUUUAUCCCGUCUGCUCCAAUCCCAGGAGCAAUGCUCCAAAUGAUCUCAGGGACUAUCCUGAAUGCAUCUAGGGAUAAGCGUGUUUGGGAAAUUGGACCUCUCUACAGCUCUGCCCCGGCUCAGGCCAGAUCCUAAGUAGUGGGGGUGGCCAUGCAGGUGGACUGGGGGCUGCUGUGGGCUAGCAUCUAACUAAGAAGAGGCCUGUGGAGGUGGGAAGCUGGCUCCAUGUCUCCCAAGUGGGAGCUUGCCUGGAUCUCAGACAGUCCUGCCUUUCUGGUUUGGGCUUCCCGGCUUUUGCUGCUGUCCUCCGGGGCAAGCUAUUUUAGGUAGCAGUCAAAAUAAAACUGAGAUUAACCCAGAAUUCUUGGCAGUCAAACAAUACCAUAAUUAUGUGCUUUUUAAGUUCAGAAAUGAGGCAUCUGGCACUGACCCACCAGGGUUUGGGGGGCGCCUUGAGGAUAAUAAGGCCUGCGUCUUGGGCCCUGUCACCUUUACACAUCCUUAGUCAUGGGCAACCACUAUAGAACCAUAGCUCUCUUCGAGGUGUUACUUUUGUCUCCAGAGACUCAUAUUGCCAGAAGAAUGGUGUAACUUGCUUGCACACCAAAUCCUGGCCCGUUGGACGGGUGAUUUAUUAUUCAUUUCUAUAUCAUAAGUCCUCUCUCAAAAAGUCCUGAUCCCAGUGGCCCCAGGGCAGUGAGCGAACAGAGAAGCUUGUGUUCUAGGGCUGAAGAUCAGGGCAGGAAUUCACUAGAGGAGUAUGUGUGCACUUUGAGGAGUGCAGACCCCAGAAUCCAGCAAAUAGGCCCCUUCCUCUUUGCUGGGCGCUGAGGGGGAGGCGAGGGGAUUAGACCUCUGAGAGCAAAAGCCUUUACUCCAGACAAAAGAAUGGGAGAUUCAAAUAGACGGGAGGGGUCAGGAUGAUGUCAGCAAGGUCACUGCCUGAAGAACAGUGGCCACAAGCGGAGGCUUUGGGCAGAUCUCUGAGCUUCCUCAAAAGACUUCAAAUUCCUGAAUGAGAUAAAAAGAAAAUAGAGCUUAGUUCCAGGUGUGUCCUCAGAGGUGUGAUGGGGAAAAGACAUAAUCAUCCCUCAACGCCAACCUGGCCCUAGGGACAAGGAGUUUCUGGACAAUUAGCAGGAGUGCAGACCUUUUAGACAGAAAAGUGGUCUAAAAGGAGAUUAAGUUAGGAAGCCCUCCCUGUUGGCUUGGAUGAAAGCAGACACCUAGCUGGUGACAGCCCUGGGAGUAGGUACCUCACAUUCAAGGGAACAUCAUGGGGGAGGUCCUGCCUCUUUUCUCACCAGUCAUGGCUACCGGCACUUUUGCUGCUGACUGUUGCUGGAGACUCUUUCCCUCUUAAGUUUUUACAAGAUCUUCCAUUACUCCCAUGGCCAUGAGUCUGCUCUCUGGGGAGGGUCUCCUAAAGAUGGAGUCUUAACUUUUGCCUCGGCACACACACACACACACACACACACACACACACACACACACACACACACACACACACCCCUGAAACAUCUUUCAUGGCCUCAGGAGGCAGAAAGAAUAACCACUCUUGGGAUGCUGUUUCUAUGACCGGAUAUCCAGAGAGAUGAACUUAGAUGAGAGAAAGGGCAUUGAGUUUUCUCUAGGAGGGAGAUGAGAAAACACGGUGAUAACCGGUGAGGGAGGCUAGGAGUUUUAAGCAGGUGGGAUUGGAAGGCAGGGCCUCUGCCGUUGCUUGGACUCAGCCGAUGUGCUUCCCACACAGAAGAAGGGCUGUCCAGUUCUCACUUCCCUGUCUUGUGUGCUGUCUAGUAGGAAGGAAUCGUGGCAUCUAUAAUGAAAGAAAAAAGCUGCCCCAAAAUUAGCCACAUCCCUCUGGGGACUUUGUGGCAAUAUCUUCUAGGCUUCUGGAGGCCUAGAAGGAAUGGACUGACCCCUGUCAAGGGCAGAGGGACUUGGAUGAAUAGGAUUGGUGGCAGUAAAGUGAUAAACAAGACCUAAAUGCUCUUCAUUGGGCUGUAGUUAUGGCUUGAGAAGACCAUAAAAGGGAGGAGAGCUCACAGAGGGGAACACAGCCCUCUCCAGAUAGGAAGCUGACUAGCUUCUAGUGUCUAGACCUCCAUGUCUGCCUCCCAGCUGGGAUGUUUGUAAAGAUAGAGGUCCCAUUCGUUAUAAGUGGGCUUCCUGGGCUUUUGUCUGUUGCUAACCUAGGGCAAUUGUCUAGAACUGUGCCUGCUUGGCAGUGAUAUCUUAGGAAAACCUAAGGUGCAUGGACACAAGAGCACCUCCUUUGCUGGACUGAGACAGAGCAACAUCAUUGGGCAUGCAAGCAGCACUUGCAGGCUCCAAAAGCUGUUUUAAAUUCUUUCUAGUGCUAGAUGGGUACAUUAAUGAUCACCGGUAAGGAAAUGUCCAUGUCCUGCUGGUACAGUGAGGAUGUGUCUACAGCUCCCCUCCUACCUCCUGGCUUGGGUGCCAGAGAACUCUCCUCUGAAAGGUACUUUAGAUGAAGUUAAGGUGUGAGCCCUUUCUCUAGGAUGGCCUCAGAAACAAUGGCAAAGGUCUCAUGAAAUGUUGCCUCCAAAGCCCAGAUGUUUGUCUGUUUGGUGAUUCUAGAUCCUGUCAAUCAAUACUAAGAAUGACAUGGUAUAUUAAUUUGAUUGUAGUCUAAUUUAUUAGUUUUUUAUUAGUAAUGUUAUCUUACAUAAGAAUUUCCUUUGUACUAACAAACCAUAAACACAUUAAGUGUUUAGUUAGAAGGUUUAGUUUUCCCUUUGACAUUUAGGUCUGUGCUAAAUUCUUAGAUUAGGAAUUAGCAUUUGGGUGUGGAUUAAGGGUUCUACUUCUUCCCUAGUAACCGUGGGUUGUAUCCUCAUUUAUUUACCAAACCUGUUUUUUUUUUUCCUCAGAGAUGUACAACUUUGCCUCUGUCCUAUGUGGAAAUUUCACGAAUAACUCAGUCUGACCCUGGACUCUUUGUUCUGUUCCAUUGGUCAACCUUUCUAUCCACACACAAGAACACGUUGUCUUUGUCCCUUUGCGAUAAGUUGGUGCCUGGUAGGAGGGAGGUAGGAAGAUGCUGUCUUCCAACCUCUUCAGGAGUUCUUCACUAUUCUUGGUCAUUUAGAUUCUACUGAAAUUUUGGAAUUAUUUUGUCAAUUACCUCAAAAAUCUCUGUUGGGAUUGUAGUGGAAUUGUCUUGACUCCAUUGUCCUGAAAUCUACUAAGGUUACCGCACAGCCGAAAAAUAAACGAUGCUGAG
ensembl:lncRNA